CGCCUCCCUGCGACUGGCGUCGAAAGCGCCGCCGCCCUCCUCCCGCGGAGUUGAGCAGUGAAUGCGCGGGGUACGGCGGCACGGGGGAAGCUGCAGCGGUGGCCGUGAGCUCAUUAACUCUCUCGCCGCCGGGCCCGGCCCCGUGACCGGGCCUCUGCGCCGCCCUCGUGGGGAGGUCCGCCAUGAAGACCGGCGCGGUAGCUCCGCCGGCGAUCGGUGGCGGAGCCGCCGCCACCUGCCAUCCCCGGAGUAGAAGUGUUACUUAUUUACUCUCUCUGGCUCCAGAUAUUGAAGAGCCUCCUAC
rnacentral:lncRNA from 1 species